rnacentral:rRNA from 1 species
AGUGAACGCUGGCGGUAGGCCUAACACAUGCAAGUCGAACGGCAGCACAGUAAGAGCUUGCUCUUACGGGUGGCGAGUGGCGGACGGGUGAGGAAUACAUCGGAAUCUACUUUUUCGUGGGGGAUAACGUAGGGAAACUUACGCUAAUACCUCAUACGACCUACGGGUUAAAUCAGUGGAUCUUCGGACCUUUCCCGAUUGAUUGAGCCGAUGUCGGAUUAGCUAGUUGGCGGGGUAAAGGCCCACCAAGGCGACGAUCCGUAGCUGGUCUGAGAGGAUGAUCAGCCACACUGGAACUGAGACACGGUCCAGACUCCUACGGGAGGCAGCAGUGGGGAAUAUUGGACAAAGGGCGCAAGCCUGAUCCAGCAAUACCGCGUGGGUGAAGAAGGCCUUCGGGUUGUAAAGCCCUUUUGUUGGGAAAGAAAAGCAGCAGGUUAAUACCCCGCUGUUCUGACGGUACCCAAAGAAUAAGCACCGGCUAACUUCGUG